rnacentral:hammerhead_ribozyme from 1 species
AUCUAGCUGACGAGUCGCAUAUGGGACGAAACGCGAGUCUUGAAU